rnacentral:tRNA from 1 species
GCCCCAGUGGCGCAAUUGGUAGCGCAGCGGACUCUUAAUCCGUGGGUUGAAGGUUCGAGUCCUUCCUGGGGUA